CCUACGGGACGCACCAGUGGGGAUUAUUGCACAAUGGGCGCAAGCCUGAUGCAGCCAUGCCGCGUGUACGAAGAAGGCCUUAGGGUUGUAAAGUACUUUCAGUUGGGAGGAAGGCGUUGAUGCUAAUAUCAUCAACGAUUGACGUUACCAACAGAAGAAGCACCGGCUAACUCCGUGCCAGCAGCCGCGGUAAUACGGAGGGUGCAAGCGUUAAUCGGAAUUACUGGGCGUAAAGCGCACGCAGGCGGUCGAUUAAGUUAGAUGUGAAAUCCCCGGGCUUAACCUGGGAAUGGCAUCUAAGACUGGUCAGCUAGAGUCUUGUAGAGGGGGGGUAGAAUUCCAUGUGUAGCGGUGAAAUGCGUAGAGAUGUGGAGGAAUACCGGUGGCGAAGGCGGCCCCCUGGACAAAGACUGACGCUCAGGUGCGAAAGCGUGGGGAGCAAACAGGAUUAGAUACCCUCGUAGUC
rnacentral:rRNA from 1 species